CCUACUGGGGACAUCAGUGGGGAAUAUUGCACAAUGGGCGAAAGCCUGAUGCCUCCCCUCCUCUUUCCUUCCUCCUUUUUUCUUCUUUUCCCCUUCUCUCACUCUUUAAGAAAGAAAUGACGGUACCUAAAUAAGAAGCCCCGGCUAACUACGUGCCAGCAGCCGCGGUAAUACGUAGGGGGCAAGCGUUAUCCGGAAUUACUGGGUGUAAAGGGAGAGUAGGCGGCAAGGUAAGCGAUAUGUGAAAGCCUUAAGCUUAACUAAAGGAUUGCAUAACGAACUAUCUAGCUAGAGUACAGGAGAGGAAAGCGGAAUUCCUAGUGUAGCGGUGAAAUGCGUAGAUAUUAGGAAGAACACCAGUGGCGAAGGCGGCUUUCUGGACUGAAACUGACGCUGAGGCUCGAAAGCGUGGGGAGCGAACAGGAUUAGAUACCCCGGUAGUC
rnacentral:rRNA from 1 species